rnacentral:misc_RNA from 1 species
GAAGGGACAGGUGAGUCAUCGAAUCUUUGAACGCACAUUGCGCCCUUUGGUAUUCCAAAGGGCAUGCCUGUUCGAGCGUCAUUUGUACCCUCAAGCUUUGCUUGGUGUUGGGCGUUUUUGUCUCUGGUCCGCCAGCGACUCGCCUUAAAAUCAUUGGCAGCCGGCCUACUGGUUUCGGAGCGCAGCACAAAUUUGCGCUUCUUCCAGCAGCGGUCCGCGUCCAUGAAGCCACUUUUUCAACGUUUGACCUCGGAUCAGGUAGGGAUACCCGCUGAACUUAAGCAUAUCAAUAAGCGGAGG